GACAGAGGGUGCAAACGUUGCUCGGAAUCACUGGGCGUAAAGGGCGCGUAGGCGGGAAUGUAAGUCGGGCGUGAAAUCCCCAGGCUCAACCUGGGAACUGCACUCGAAACUGCGUUUCUUGAGUAUCGGAGAGGAAAGCGGAAUUCCUGGUGUAGAGGUGAAAUUCGUAGAUAUCAGGAGGAACACCGGUGGCGAAGGCGGGUCUCUGGGCCGAUAUUGACGCUGAGGAGCGAAAGCGUGGGGAGCAAACAGG
rnacentral:rRNA from 1 species